AAGUCGUAACAAGGUAACCGUAGGUGAACCUGCGGUUGGAUCAUUACCGAUCUGUGCCCUGGCGAAGGGCCGAUCUACACCUGUGAACCGUAAACGUGUUUGGCGGCGGGGGUGAGAGCCCCCACGCCGGGCGGGACGUCCUUCGGAUGGGCCCGCCCGGCGAUGCCGUCGCUUGAAGAACAACCCAUGUCUUGCACUUUUGACUGAUUCAUUGCGUCUCCGUACGUGAUAACCUAAAACAACUUUCGACAAUGGAUCUCUUGGCUCUC
rnacentral:misc_RNA from 1 species